GUGCUUGCUUCGGCAGCACAUAUACUAAAAUUGUAACAAUAAAGAGAUUGGCAUGGUCCCUUUGCAAGGAUGACACACUAAUUCGUGGACUGUAUGUUCUCUGA